rnacentral:rRNA from 1 species
GGAGUCUAGCAUGUGCGCGAGUCAUUGGGAUUCGUUGCUAAACCUAAAGGCGAAAUGAAAGUGAAAGCGCGCGCCUUGCGCGCGCGCAUAGGGAGGAUGGGCGGGACGCGCGCGUCUCGCCUCGCACUCCCGGGGCGUCUCGUUCUCAUCGCGAGAAGAGGCGCACCCAGAGCGUACACGCUGGGACCCGAAAGAUGGUGAACUAUGCCUGGUCAGGACGAAGUCAGGGGAAACCCUGAUGGAGGUCCGUAGCGAUUCUGACGUGCAAAUCGAUCGUCGGAACUGGGUAUAGGGGCGAAAGACUAAUCGAACCAUCUAGUAGCUGGUUCCCUCCGAAGUUUCCCUCAGGAUAGCUGGCGCUCGCUUUUGCGAGUCUCAUCCGGUAAAGCGAAUGAUUAGAGGCAUUGGGGUCGAAACGGCCUCAACCUAUUCUCAAACUUUAAAUGGGUGAGAUCUCCGGCUUGCUUAAAUGAGUGAAGCCGCGAGAUCGGAUCAGAGUGCCAAGUGGGCCAUUUUUGGUAAGCAGAACUGGCGCUGUGGGAUGAACCAAACGCGGAGUUAAAGCGCCUAAAUCGACGCUUAUGGGAUACCAUGAAAGGCGUUGGUAACUUAAGACAGCAGGACGGUGGCCAUGGAA